GCCGGUUGCCGCAUCACGCACAGCUUUCUUAUCUUUUUGCACGCACCGGCCAGCCAUGAAUUUCGGGAGCGACGCCGAGACUUCACGGCGGUGGCUAGAGAUGACACCGGGUGUCCUUAUGCAAGCGCAAGGCACUCUCUCAAAAGCCAUUAUACAUCGUCAUUGUCUCCGUGACAUAUGUGCACGACGCUUCACACAAUGUUCAAGGAAAGCUAGCGUAGCAAAGAGAAAGUUUGAUCACGGAUUCGACCCCGCUAUUGGCGCACGAACUCAAAGCACUGGCAGACGACAGUUAGCGUCCUCGCGAAUCCACCAAGACCUGCCCAACUAAUUACUAAAAAAUACCUGGGUCACUGUCCUUCAGAAGGUCUUCAAGUGGGGAAAUGAAAGGUUCACUCGAACAAAUACUGGAAGGCACUGCACGUAAUGACACCGUCAUUGUUAUAUACAAUUAUAUUAGUGAAACGCUUCAAAUUUCUUGUUAUUUUUAUUGUAUCAUAAUAAUUGAUGCCAGAGCGUCUUAAAAAAUUACCAUUCAUUUCGUAUAGGCUUCAUACCUGGUGCAAAGCAAUGCCUGCGUCUCGCAUCAUAUAUGGCUUUGAUGAUAUGAAGGGUACCUGACGCAAAUUUGUUUUUGAGGCAUUAACCACUGCCUCAGUGUUAAUGAGCGUUCGGAUGCGAUUCUUUCAAUAAAGUGAAGUUCGUUCUGAUAAAUACCAAUUUUCUAGCUUACACCAAAACAUAUCUUUCACUACAAAUGAUUCACACAAAUGUGUGGCUGGGGACACUUUGACGACAUGAGCACGCCUCUUUUUGUGUGUCUUUUUUGUGUCUGCCAUUGUAGCGACCAUGGGCCCACACACAAACAGGUGGCAACUAAACCAAGAAGCAGCUCUUUUACGCCUAUUGUACACACAGAAGAGAGCACCGGGAUUAAUCGACGCCAACUUCUUCGUCAAAAAGGGAUGGUUAUCAACUUGCGAAGAUACCAGAACGCGCUAAACCAACGUCAGCAGCUACUCUCUAAAAUUGCAUUAGCAAGAAUAUGUGCACCAAGAUAAGUGGGUUCCGCAGAACUUUUAUGUUCACAAUAGCUUGGCCCUCGUCAAGACAUUGUUAGAAUUAAAAAAACAGGAAUUUUUGCGUGUUAUCAAUGAUUAUAUCCUAAAAGAAUGCUGCCAUUUGGUAGCUAGAACCUCUGGAGGCUGAGGCCAGAAUUUGACCUUCCUUACUCAUAUAGCAAAACCUUUUACCAAGUUACUACCUGUAUUUCGUCGCAUACUACCACAAAAACAACGUUCCCUGAAGUAAAAAUAAAAAUAAAUGUUUUAGUGAAUAUUAUUAUCGCGUUAGUUUGCCAGCGAAAACCAAUUUCGUUUCUCCUGCCAAGUAUUAUUCAAUGCGCCUUUUUAUUCCAUAACUGGCAUGAGAAUAAUUUUACGAGUGGCUCCGUCUCAGAUGUAAUUAAUGAAGGAGCCUGAGACAAUGGGUUCUAGCUAUAAUAAUUUUUUUAUAGAAACACAGAUGGCCAGAGACAAAUUGUUUAGAACAAAUACUGGCCGCAUGACUUCAAUAUUUUUUCACUUGUGGUACCGUUGCGGUGUUUUUACGUUCUGCAGCAGUCGGUUCCUACCAUUUUCUGGGCAACGUCUCUUCUAUCGUCCGCACAAUCACCCACUUGAGGAAAUUGAGUUCUUGUUUUUAAUUGUCUUGAAAUAUAUUUUUACGGUGAGAUGCGGUAAUUGUAAUGUUCAGAUUAAAAUAUAAUUACGGGAGGCCUAGGUGUCGAAUAUAUAACAGUUUAUUUCUUUUUCAUUUAUUUCAAUACUGCCAGUCUCUUUCGGAGACCCUAGCAGGUGAGUGUGGAGAUUGUACCUUCAGGUGUAAUAUUACAUCAGCACCACACGGCAAAACAGAAAGAAGAAUCCAGUGCAGUGACAGCCGUCAGAAAAAAAUGAGUGAAGUGUACACACAACAACAAUCCUCAAUGACAAUCAGCAAUGAAUGUCGAACUGAAAUUCUAUAAACAACACACUUGUAGCGCCUAUAACAUACACACAGUUAUUAUAAAAAUAUCAUACAAAUCACACAUUUGUAACCUAAGAUAACAGAAAGUAAACAACAGCAAAAGAUCACACAAAUUAUUCAUCAAAUUGAGUGAUACACUGGCCGACAACAGCAAACCUGAAAGCACGCUGUUGUGAGCACUAGGACACUAAUAUGCUUCCAAUGAUCAUAAAGGUCUCUAGGGCUGAGAGCGUUACUAUGUUAAUAUAUGAUAUUUUCUAUUUUUGAGGCAAAGUCCUCUAAUAAAUUCGCAUUAGUAACCGAGAGAUCUAAACACGUUCAGUCUCUGACAGCAAGUGGAAAAAAGAGUGCUUGAAAGUGUCAUUGUGGUAACAGUACAAUUUCAGUGUGGGUGAUUGUUUGCGCCGCGUUA